UAUCACUGUCUAUUGUUCUCUGCCAUCUUUACCCAUUUCCUGCUUUGCUCUCCCUAACCCCCCUGUCUCUCUCUCUCUGUCUCUCUCUCUCAGGAUUGGGAGGAGAGUGUGGACGUGGCCGUGUCUCACCUCCUAAGGACCUGUCUGUCUCGCAGCCCUAAGGAUCAGGCCCUGUCUCUGUCCACUUCCCAGCUCAGCAUGCCCAAAGACACGGUCCGCCUGAAGAAGCACAUCACCCUGCUGUGUGACCGCCUAGGAAAGGGGGGACGGCUGUCCCUGGCCUCCGAGGCCAACGUACCCACACCAGUCAUGAUGCCAGGGGGCUGUGAACCAAUCGCGGAGGCUGUUGCGAACCUGGAGGAGCCGCCCCUGCAACAGGAGUUCAUCAAAAAGAAACAGCCGUCCAAGAAAGUCAAGACCAAGACAGGUCAGUCAGGGGAUGGACACAAACAAACUCAGACCCUGUGUGUGGAAAUCUCAUCCUUAGCUUGUGAUUCACCCUCCUUUAGCGCAUACUGUACAGUAUGGUCU
ensembl:lncRNA